UUAUCUUUUUUUUUUAUGGGAUGGUAUUUUUUUGUUAGUUCUUUUUAUAAGCUGCUGACUUGUCAUUUUGGUUGUGCUUUCCCUUGGAAAACCAUUUGGAGCGUGAAGGCUCCUACUAAGAUGGCGUUUUUCAGUUGGGUGGUUGCUCUAGGGAAAGUUUUGACCACGGAUAACCUUAGAAAACGUGGUAUGUGCAUUGCUGAUUGGUGUGCCAUGUGCAAGAAGGAUGGUGACUCUGUAAAUCAUCUCUUUCUUCAUUGUGAGGUGGCAAAGUCUUUAUGGUAUGAGGUUUUGAGGGAAGGAAAUGUGUAGCUCCCAGAUGGAAUAUGAUUCAAUUGUGUUUAAUGUGGUGUAUUUGGCUGGAAAGGAAUGAGAGAUGUUUUGAAGACAAAGAACGUACUCUCGGAGAACUUCAGAAUUUUUUCUUUUCUACUUUGUGUUUGUGGGCUAGGAUUUUUGUAAGGGAUGAUGAUAAUGUGCUGAAUCUGUUUUAGUCUUUUUCCUGCUUCUAGAGUGUAGUAGGUAUUUCCUUUGUAUACUUCAUGUGAACUUGGAUUGUGCCUAUUCUUGGUAAUAAAAUCUCUUAUUAAUUAU